rnacentral:rRNA from 1 species
GGAGUGAUCUUUACUCGAGAUUGUACGCUCUAUAACCCUUUGCUGAACAUACCUAUAACUGUUGCUUCGGCGGGUAGGGUCCCCGUGACCCUCCCGGCCUCCCGCCCCCCGGGCGGGUCGGCGCCCGCCGGAGGAUAACCAAACUCUGAUUUAACGACGUUUCUUCUGAGUGGUACAAGCAAAUAAUCAAAACUUUUAACAACGGAUCUCUUGGUUCUGGCAUCGAUGAAGAACGCAGCGAAAUGCGAUAAGUAAUGUGAAUUGCAGAAUUCAGUGAAUCAUCGAAUCUUUGAACGCACAUUGCGCCCGCCAGCAUUCUGGCGGGCAUGCCUGUUCGAGCGUCAUUUCAACCCUCAAGCUCUGCUUGGUGUUGGGGCCCUACAGCUGAUGUAGGCCCUCAAAGGUAGUGGCGGACCCUCCCGGAGCCUCCUUUGCGUAGUAACUUUACGUCUCGCACUGGGAUCCGGAGGGACUCUUGCCGUAAAACCCCCAAUUUUCCAAAGGUUGACCUCGGAUCAGGUAGGAAUACCCGCUGAACUUAAGCAUAUCAGUAAAGAGAAGGAA